rnacentral:rRNA from 1 species
UACGUAGGGUGCAAGCGUUGUCCGGAAUUAUUGGGCGUAAAGCGCGCGUAGGCGGCCAGAUAAGUCCGGUGUGAAAGUCACAGGCUCAACCUGUGAAUGCCGCUGGAAACUGUCUGGCUAGAGUCCGGAAGGGGCGAGUGGAAUUCCUGGUGUAGCGGUGAAAUGCGUAGAUAUCGGGAGGAACACCUGUGGCGAAGGCGGCCCCCUGGUUGGAUACUGACGCUGAUACGCGAAAGCGUGGGGAGCAAACAGG